rnacentral:sRNA from 1 species
GUUGAGUGAUGUGAAGUUAGUAGAUGAUGUUAGAGGUA